rnacentral:rRNA from 1 species
UACGUAGGUGGCAAGCGUUGUCCGGAUUUAUUGGGUUUAAAGGGUGCGUAGGCGGCCUUGUAAGUCAGUGGUGAAAUAACUCCAGCUUAACUGGAGGGGUGCCAAUGAUACUGCAGGGCUUGAGUACAGAUGAGGUAGGCGGAAUUGACGGUGUAGCGGUGAAAUGCAUAGAUAUCGUCAAGAACACCGAUAGCGAAGGCAGCUUACUGGGCUGUAACUGACGCUGAGGCACGAAAGUGUGGGGAUCAAACAGG